GAGGGUAUAGCUCAAGUGGUAGAGCGCAUGCUCAGUGUCCAAAAGGUCCUGGGUUCAAUCCCCAGUACCUCCU
rnacentral:tRNA from 1 species